UACAGAGGAGCCAAGCGUUGUCCGGAUUGACUGGGCGUAAAGCGCACGCAGGCGGACGCGCGCGUGGGGUGUGAAAUCUGGCCGCUUAACGGCCAGGCGCCAUCCCAUACGGCGCAUCUGGAGUGAUGCAGAGGUCGAUGGAAUUGCCGGUGUAGUGGUGAAAUGCGUAGAGAUCGGCAGGAACACCCAGGGGGGAAAACCAGUCGACUGGGCAUCUACUGACGCUGAGGUGCGAGAGCGUGGGGAGCGAACCGG
rnacentral:rRNA from 1 species